rnacentral:rRNA from 1 species
GUGGGGAAUCUUGCGCAAUGGGCGAAAGCCUGACGCAGCCAUGCCGCGUGGAUGAUGAAGGUCUUAGGAUUGUAAAAUCCUUUCACCGGUGAAGAUAAUGACUGUAGCCGGAGAAGAAGCCCCGGCUAACUUCGUGCCAGCAGCCGCGGUAAUACGAAGGGGGCUAGCGUUGCUCGGAUUUACUGGGCGUAAAGGGCGCGUAGGCGGACAUUUAAGUCAGGGGUGAAAUCCCGGGGCUCAACCUCGGAACUGCCUUUGAUACUGGGUGUCUUGAGUAUGAGAGAGGUGUGUGGAACUCCGAGUGUAGAGGUGAAAUUCGUAGAUAUUCGGAAGAACACCAGUGGCGAAGGCGACACACUGGCUCAUUACUGACGCUGAGGCGCGAAAGCGUGGGGAGCGAACGGGAUUAGAUACCCGAGUAGUCC